GUGAGGAAUUUUCCGCAAUGGGCGAAAGCCUGACGGAGCAAUGCCGCGUGAAGGAUGAAGGCCUAUGGGUUGUAAACUUCUUUUCUCAGAAAAGAAUUAUGACGGUAUCUGAGGAAUAAGCAUCGGCUACUCUGUGCCAGCAGCCGCGGUAAGACAGAGGAUGCAAGCGUUAUCCGGAAUGAUUGGGCGUAAAGCGUCUGUAGGUUGUUUAAAAAGUAUUCUGUCAAAGAUUAGGGCUUAACCCUAGAUAGGCAGAAUAAACUUUUAAGCUAGAGUUUGGUAGAGGCAGAGGGAAUUCCCGGUGGAGCGGUGAAAUGCGUAGAUAUCGGGAGGAACACCAAAGGCGAAGGCACUCUGCUGGGCCAAUACUAACACUGAGAGACGAAAGCGAGGGGAGCAAAUGGGAUUAGAAACCCGAGUAGUCC
rnacentral:rRNA from 1 species